rnacentral:lncRNA from 1 species
UCGGAAUCGUUACCACGACAGCGUGGGUCACAUGGUAUACUUAUCUUUGUUCCUAUGCCAUUUUCUUGUUAGUUUGUAUUUUGUGACUUCCCUAUUACAUUGUGGUCAUCUUUGUGAAGACUAUGAUUAUGUAGGCAUUCCAAAGUUUGGAAGCCUUCGAUGCCCAAAUAGGAAUAAGACUUUCACACUCAUUCAUCGUUGGACGCUUAUCCAAACUGAUCAAUAAGCCGCACAAAAGAAAAAAUGAAGGGCCGACAGAUGUUCUUGAGCAUGAAGAUGGAGUGAAGCGUCCGAGGGUAAAACCAACUCCAAGGUGCACGAGAAGCGUGAUUCGGCCUCGUUUGCCUUGAUGAGACUUUGCAAGGCAUGAUUACCUAAAAACAAGAAGGGAAGAGAGUAAAUGCUUAGAAAAAGUGGAGCAAAUGAAGGUCUAUACCAAGCUCCGAACGAAGAAUCUCGAUGUGAAGAAGGCCAUCAAAAUGAGGAAGCUAGAGACCGAGGAGGCCCUUACAAAUGAACAAGCUUGGGAUUGAGGCCACCAACGCCAAGACCACAGCACAAGAGGUGGCGCUAACUUUCGAAAAGAUAAAGUUCAUGAUGGUGGACUUGAACGUGAUGUCCCCAAAGAGAAAAUCUUGGUUCAAGAAAAUCAAAAAACCACACUCAAUCUAGAAGAGUGAGCUAGGGCCAAAGAUGACAUCAUUUUGUUUGAUGCCGGCAUGAACUAGUGAAGGCCGCGGGACAAGAACGAUGGCCGUUUUUUGUGUGCAGGCAUGAACUUUUUAUUUUUUUUAUUUCUAGUAGUCGAUGUGUGCAUGCGUACGGUGGUACUAAUUAUCCCGUACCUGCACAUAUUCACGAAUGGUAUGGUCGAGUGGUAAAAUCACGCUAAUACAGUGCCUUUGUAGUAACAUGCCAGGUCAGUGCACGCACAUACGCAAAUGCUGAUAGCCAGAGGACGGCAUUUGCACGAAAUUCUCAUCUGCAUCUCUCAGUCAUCAGCCUCGCCUGUACCGCAAUUCAUACCAAUCGCCGAGCACGCUGAAAGGGACACGCAUGCUGGCAUAGCUUCCAGCGAGAUACUGCGAGAUCAUCUGCCGCCACCGAUUUGUCUAACGCUACCCACACAGCUUCUGACCCCGCCAAGCUGACCAGUACCGUCGGGAAGACGGCGGCUCCGUUGUUGUCCACAGACAAAGAAGUGACCGCAGCCGAGCGGCCCGUUGUUAGACGGUAUGUCCCUUUUGCCUCGCACGCCCACAAACAGGUUAUUCUCGUCCGCUGCGUUCAUUCCUCCUGCAGCAGCAGCCGAAAGCAAGGCCUUCGCCCCACCCACACACGCAUGGUCCUGACUGCCGCCACGACAUGCAUCACCAGCGCGAGGCCAAGCAGGGGAAGGGAUGCGACAGUGCUAGAGUGCUUCUUGGUAAUGUGGAGCUCUAGAUCCUACUGGCUCUCGGUCUCAGGUCUUGUUGUGUGCGUGAGAACAUGCGUCCCUUCUACCAAUCCAUUUGUAGUCUUUAAAUAGGCGGUUGACUGGUACGCACGAAGGACGGAGAGGGACGGUGUAAAUGAGACCAGUAUGAGUGCUUUAGUGACUGCUUUUGUUUACAAUCUGUUUCAUCAUGUUUACAAUCAAAGUUACAUCAUUCAUCAAGAGAGGGAUGUACACACUAUAGGUUUGAUCAAGGAAGCUAGUACAAGAGGGCCCUUAACCAAUUUCGUUAGUUCAAGAGCAACAUUAUUACCUUCCCUAGGGCAGUGCACAAAAGAGACGAUGGGAAAAUCACUUGCCAAAUGGCAGCGGUGCGGAAAAAAAUUCAGUAGAGUG